CUUGUGGAAACGGCCACCGCAGGGUUGGCGGACUUCUGAAGGAGCUGAGAUGGCGUAUUGAGGCGUUCCGCGGAGAGCCGGCCUUUAGGCCGGUUUGGGCCGGCUUCCGGCCGGUCCAGUGCUUCUGCUGGUUCAUGCGAGGAAGAACAUUUUCCUUGACUUUUAGGUGCUUUUAUAUUCAUCUCGAAAAGAAAAAAUUCUGAACUCAGGAUUUGGCAAGUAUUUGUGUUGUCUCCUGGAGUGGGGAGUCCUGCUUUUUCUGUCCAUCCACUUUCCCUCAUCUUGAAAUGUGGAUAUCCCUCCUCUACACUCUUCCUCCAUGAUUUGGACUGGAAAAGGCUGCGUUUCUUUUUUCUCCACCUCUCAAGUACAACACAGAGAACUCCAAGGAUGUGGUCAUCCUGCCAACUUCUCCAGGAAGAAAGAAGCAACUGACAUGUUUCUUCCGUCAUUUGCUUGCUUGUAAAGAAAUUAUUUUGCAAGCUGAAGGGUGAUAUUUAAUUUGAAAAUGGUGCUUAGAUGGUGGUAUUUGUGCAUUUUUAACCUUUUGUUCCCAACCAGAAGACUAUAUAAACAGCAAGUAUGGGUGACAUCAGGGUUUUUUUAAAUGUCUUCCUGUUUUAGCCACCAUCAUAAGCACAGCUGAGACUGCAGCAGUAAAUUCCAGAUAUGUGUUAUAAUUUGAAAUGAAAGAGAUCCUAAAAAUAAAUAAAUAAAUAAAUAAAUAUAUACACAUAUGUGUGUGUGUGUAUACACACACACAUAUACAUCCUACAUAUACAUCCUGUGACAUAGAUUGAGUGGAUAAGAACAAAGGUCCAGUUUUGCAGUGAAACCUUUGAUGUGAUAAAGAAGCAUAAAAACAAUAUCACAAGGUUAAUUUCAUAUGUGAAUAAGCCAUCCUAGUCUCUGUAUAAGUACAUAUUUUAACAUGUAUAAAUCCAUAUUUUGGAUGAGAAGAUGGAUUUUUCUCCUACAGAAGGAAACCAUUCUUUCUCAGAAGUCUUUGGACAUUUGGUAUUUUUAAAAUGUUUUUCUUCUUCUAAGGGUGGACUGUAUUGUGCAGAUACUAACCCAGUGAAUGCAUGCUUGCGUUUAGUGAAAGGCUGAUAAAAAGGAAAGAAAAGUUUUGAGUCCAGUGAUGGAACCUGUUCACCUCCCUAGGAUGAGAGGUUGCUAUAUUACAGAUUACUUCAUUCUUUUUUGUGGAGCACUUGGGACUUUUUCCUUGCUGCUAAGUCGGGAAGUAAGUGGCAUAAGUGGUUUUUCUGUUCAGAAGAUGUGAUGGACCCUAGAGUAUGACCUGCCUUCAAUUUUGGACAUGGAGGAACCAGGGGAAAUGAGAAAACUUUCCAUAUAACUCCCUUCUAAGAAAAGGAAGCAAAAAAUGUCUUUUACUUCCACCUGACUUUAUGCCGUUUUAAAUUCUAUAGCUCUGUUUUUUGUAAAAGUAUAAAUAACUUUUUCCUUUGACCCAAGGUCAGUACUUGGGUGUUUGAAUUCUUUUUCUAGAUGAUAGCUAUAGUGUUAGGCUGAAAAGGCUGGGACUCAGGUAACUUUUCCAGUUCUCAGAGAAUGGGCCUCAGAAGCAAUGUUCUCAAACUUAUGGUUGGAUCAGUAGUAAAUUUAAAAGAAAUUCAGAUCUGAAAAAACCUCAAACAAGAAAAAUAGUUCCAAUAAGAAAAAUGGAUUUCCCUUUCCCUUAAAACUUAACUAUAUGAUGAAUAACUAUAAUGUAAAGCUGUUCUUGUUUCGAAAUCAACAGAGGACCAAUGUAUGAAUUGUCAGGUCUUUAUGUGAGAAGAAUGAAACCAUUAUGGGUUAGAGAAAGAAUUUAAAGCCUCUUAGAUGAAAUUAAGAACAAAUCACCCUAGGUCCAUACAUUUAGGGCAGAUUUACCAAAAUUUGAGAGCAAUAGAACUGGCCCAGAAUGGAAAUGCUGAGGACUCUUGAUUAGAUUAAUUGGUCCACCAAUCUGAAUUGGCAUAAGAAAGCUUUUUAGUAAAAAUAAUUAUAUAGAUAAAAUGUAAUUUUCUCCAGUUGAGGGCGGUUACUAAAUGGUAAAGCAUUAGAAUAGCUUAAAUUUUUCUCUACGGAACUUCCCAGCCACUUCCUAAUGUUUUAGUAUUUUGGAAUUAUUAAAGAGAAUGGAGUUUACAUACAUGGGUCCCACUGGUAUACUGAGAAUAUCAAAUGGAGAAUUUGUAUCUUUAGUUGUCUGUUCCCCAUCUUCCUGGUGUCUUUUUGGCAGCUUUGGGUAGGAUCAUUUGACAGGAAAUAGGGACCCUGUACUAUCAGCACCAGGGAAACCAUCUCUGGCCCACUCGUUUGAAUAUAUAUCAGACUCAGCUUCUCAAGUUGCUUUAUACUUUUUCAUUUCGCAGCUAAGAGAAUUGUUUCAUGUUCUUCCAAGUUGUUUCAGCAUCUUGUCAGCAGAUGGCAUUUAACAAAAUGCGUAUAUUCCAGAUGUAUUUGCCCAGUGUUUACUUCAUACAUAUAUUGUUUUUUCCUGGUGAUUUUGAUCCCCUUCUUGAUGGCAAGCGUUAUAAUUUUCAGUAGGACUAUGCCUCGAUCUAUAGCUGUGCCUGCUUCCUUUCCUUUGUUCAUCCAUGUUAGCUGGCAGUUUUAUUUUUAUUUUUUUAAGUUAAAAACGGGAUAUGUGCAAUAGAAAUAUAUAUAUGUAUAUUUUAAUACUUGUGGACAAAUGUUACAAGUUGUUUCAGAACAACAAAAUCACCAAUGUCUUCCAUUUUGAGAUGUGUAUAGUUUUGUAAGCAUUAGUGCUUGGUAGCAUAUUGUAGUGCCAUGUUAGGGGUUAGUGCAUGAGCCUAGUAAUAAUUUAAACUUCAGGAUGAAUUACUAUAAUAACCAAUAGUGUAAAAAGUGGAAAAUUUAGACCUUUUCUUCUUUCAUAAAUUUCUAUAUCCAUGAUAUUCUCCCUGGGGAGAGGAGAUAAGGCCAAAAAGACUCAUUUAUGAAUAGUAAUGUGGGGUCACAAUGUGAAAUACUGUUUGAGGAUAUUUAAGCUUCUCAUGAGGUAGUUGGAAACCAGCUGCCUGUGUGUCUUAAUGAAACCUCAAAUCAAAAUGUGGCUCCAUUUCAUGCUUUUGCUUUGCUUAGUUUGAGGUGAGAUUGUUCUUACGCUGUCUACACAUUUUAUGUCAUUUAGGUUUAUUAUUUUCCUACUCCUUUUGAAUCAGGAAAUUAUUUUGCAUGUCUUACUGAGAUGCUGUGUUAAUUGCUUAAGUGAGUGCUUUUCUAAUCUGCAGACCAUUUACACUUCCUGUCUGCAGCAUGUCAUAUGUCAGUAGUUCAGAGUGCCCUGAAUUAAUUUGUCAUGGGCUUUUCCUAUUUCCAAAUUUGCUGAAUUGUGUAUUGUUGGGAUUCCAGACUUUUUCAUGGAAUUGGAAAUUUAGCCAAUACAGCCUACGUAGGUUGCCAUGUAAUAACUAACUCUUUUGCUUGGUUAUAGUAAGCCAAGCCACCUCAGACAGCUUUCACUUUUCUACUUUCCUUGUAGACAUAAAAGUUAUUUUGUUCUGAAAGCAUAAGAUAGCUUCCUGUAGAAAAGAAUUUCCUACCUCUAAAAGCUGCCUUGAGAAAUUGGAAGUGGCAGUUUUCUGAGGUGAUUUUUAAAUCUCAGUGUUAGGAGAGUCCGGGAUUUAUUGACAGGUUCUAUAGUUAGCAUGAUAGGAAAUGCAAAACUAUCUUAAUGUGGUGUGUCUCAUGUAGAAGCAAGCUUAGGAAAAUACACUGUUGUUCUACAGCAGUUCUCCAGGGACCCAGGUUUAGAUUCUCAUAGUGUACUUUAAGUAGUUGUAUUCUUGACUCAAGUAGUUUAGUGCCUGUGAGAAUCCAUUUCUGAAAAGCAUUUAAACAUUUAUUUUAAAAUACCUCUGAAAAGGUAACGAAUGCAAAAUAGCACAGUAUAUAGGAAAGGAUAUUUCCUAUUGCAAAAAAAAAAAAAAAAAAAA